rnacentral:rRNA from 1 species
AGACAGCAGUAGCCGCGGUAAUACGCAGGUGGCAAGCGUUGUCCGGAAUUAUUGGGCGUAAAGGGCUCGCAGGCGGUUUCUUAAGUCUGAUGUGAAAGCCCCCGGCUCAACCGGGGAGGGUCAUUGGAAACUGGGAAACUUGAGUGCAGAAGAGGAGAGUGGAAUUCCACGUGUAGCGGUGAAAUGCGUAGAGAUGUGGAGGAACACCAGUGGCGAAGGCGACUCUCUGGUCUGUAACUGACGCUGAGGAGCGAAAGCGUGGGGAGCGAACAGGAUUAGAUACCCGCGUAGUCCCUGUCUCUUAUAC